AAAAAAGCAAAUCCCGAGUUUCCGUGUCCAACUUUAACUGUCUGUCUUAUAUGAAUUUUUUUUAUAAUUCGUAUUUUUAUUGUUGUUAGAUGAUAAAACAUGAUUAAUAUUUUAUGCGUGACUUGUCUUUUUAAUUUUUUUUCAUAAUUUUUUCAAAUAAGACGGACGAUCAAAUGUUGGGCACGGAAACCAGGGUUUUUCUUUUU
rfam:Oryza glaberrima chromosome 2 Oglab02_0184_3, whole genome shotgun sequence.